rnacentral:rRNA from 1 species
UCGAACGAGCGAGAGAGAGCUUGCUUUCUCAAGCGAGUGGCGAACCGGUGAGUAACGCGUGAGGAACCUGCCUCAAAGAGGGGGACAACAGUUGGAAACGACUGCUAAUACCGCAUAAGCCCACGACUCGGCAUCGGGUAGAGGGAAAAGGAGCAAUCCGCUUUGAGAUGGCCUCGCGUCCGAUUAGCUAGUUGGUGAGGUAAUGGCCCACCAAGGCGACGAUCGGUAGCCGGACUGAGAGGUUGAACGGCCACAUUGGGACUGAGACACGGCCCAGACUCCUACGGGAGGCAGCAGUGGGGAAUAUUGCACAAUGGGGGAAACCCUGAUGCAGCGACGCCGCGUGGAGGAAGAAGGUCUUCGGAUUGUAAACUCCUGUUGUUGAGGAAGAUAAUGACGGUACUCAACAAGGAAGUGACGGCUAACUACGUGCCAGCAGCCGCGGUAAAACGUAGGUCACAAGCGUUGUCCGGAAUUACUGGGUGUAAAGGGAGCGCAGGCGGGAAGACAAGUCGGAAGUGAAAUCCAUGGGCUCAACCCAUGAACUACUUUCAAAACUGUUUUUCUUGAGUAGUGCAGAGGUAGGCGGAAUUCCCGGUGUAGCGGUGGAAUGCGUAGAUAUCGGGAGGAACACCAGUGGCGAAGGCGGCCUACUGGGCACCAACUGACGCUGAGGCUCGAAAGUGUGGGUAGCAAACAGGAUUAGAUACCCUGGUAGUCCACACUGUAAACGAUGAUUACUAGGUGUUGGAGGAUUGACCCCUUCAGUGCCGCAGUUAACACAAUAAGUAAUCCACCUGGGGAGUACGACCGCAAGGUUGAAACUCGAAGGAAUUGACGGGGGCCCGCACAAG